AAAAAGUCGAGCAAAGCGAGACCAGCUUGCUAGUAAAUAAAUACAAUUUAAAAAAUAGAGGCAGCUCACUGGUAAGUGCUGCUAUUUGAGCUAUUUUUAGAACAGGCCAGCGGGCGACUCAUCUGGUCCUUACGGGCACCGCGUUGGUGACCCCUGUGUAUGCUACUUAGAGUAGCAUACACACGCCACGUAAUCAUCAAAGGUUUAAAUAAACAUGUUUGCAGUUCUGCUUGGUUGUCACCUCCUUUCCUGUCUCUGUACAAAAAGCUGAUCAGUAACUCAUGACUAAAAACAUAUUGAUUGUACUUUGUUUGUACUCGUAAGCAGACCUCAAAGGUUGUCCCAGUCAUUCAUCUUGUUAUGUGAGCUAAUAAGUGCUCCAUCAUUUUGCUGUUUUGUAACCGGUAGAUCUAGCUCUGUGGCGGCCGGACCAGAUUUUGUGGCAAGAAGAUUCAGUUUCAACUUGUCUCAGCUCCGCAUGAUUGACUCUUUGAACACACUCACAUGCUGAACUCCAUCCAGAGCUCACCACCAAUAUUCCACCCAUGGCAGGUGCUUCGUCAUCAUUAGUCAGUUGUUGGUGUGUCACUCAGGAUGAGUGAGCUUUGCUGAACAACAACAAAAGAGAGACUAUGGAACAAAUAGAUGAAUGUGUCAACACAUGGUGAUCAAACCUGAGAUGACGGUCCUGACCACCUGCCACAGAAAAAACAAAAACAAAUUGAGUCCGCUUGCAAAGCUUCUGCCUAGACCUUGGCACAGCGCGGGGUGUUUUGUCAAAGUGGUCAGGCUGUCCUGUUCUUCAAGGAGACCUCUCCCGUUACAAACAAGAGAGCCUGAGAACUGGAUGUCACUGCCAGACACUGCUUGAAUGUCAGAGAGUCCAAAAGGUCCCUGGAAAACAUCCCGUUGCAGUUUUUAAAAAAACAUAAUGAUUUGAAAUCGUCCCCCUCCAAAAAAAAAAACUCCUUCUAUGUGGCAGAUUUCCUUGCUCACUCUUUAGUGCGUUGCUCAGGAGUUCCUUAAAAUGGAGCUGCACUUGCAAGUAGUCCUCUAAAGCAACUUCAAAACCCUCCAUCAAACAUUUUAUAUACA